UCUAUUGUGCUCAUACGUUAUAUGAAACUUGCCCAGGAGCACUGUUAAAAUAUUUAGGAGGAGGCACUGACUCAGCCCAGGGGCAAUCCACCUCCUCAGGAGCAGCCAAGGCUGAUGAAUCAGGUCCAUCUCUAUCCUCUGCUCCAUCCACUGUGCCCACUGUCCUCUCUGCAACCUCAGCUGUACCUGAUUGAUGUGUCUUCUUCAGCAUCCAGUUUGGAGCAGGGAUCAGCAGCUCCGCCAGUUGACCCAGCUGAGUGUCCCUCUUUCCUGUCAGACUCAGAAAGGACUGAACAGGUAUUAAGAGGGCCACUGCCUAU